rnacentral:misc_RNA from 1 species
GAUGAAGAACGUAGUGAAAUGCGAUAAGUAAUGUGAAUUGCAGAAUUCAGUGAAUCACCGAAUCUUUGAACGCACAUUGCGCCCCCUGGUAUUCCGGGGGGCAUGCCUGUCCUAGCGUCAUUACAACCCUCAAGCUCAGCUUGGUGUUGGGCCCCGCCGCCCCGGCGGGCCCUAAAGUCAGUGGCGGUGCCGUCCGGCUCCGAGCGUAGUAAUUCUUCUCGCUCUGGAGGUCCGGUCGUGUGCUCGCCAGCAACCCCCAAUUUUUUUCAGGUUGACCUCGGAUCAGGUAGGGAUACCCGCUGAACUUAAGCAUAUCAAUAAGCGGAGGA